AACGAACGCUGGCGGCAGGCCUAACACAUGCAAGUCGAGCGAGGACUUCGGUCCUAGCGGCGGACGGGUGAGUCACGCGUGGGAACGUGCCCUUUGCUUCGGAAUAGCCCUGGGAAACUGGGAGUAAUACCGGAUGAGCCCUUUGGGGGAAAGAUUUAUCGGCGAAGGAUCGGCCCGAGUUGGAUUAGGUAGUUAGUGGGGUAAUGGCCUACCAAGCCGACGAUCCAUAGCUGGUUUGAGAGGAUGAUCAGCCACACUGGGACUGAGACACGGCCCAGACUACUACGGGAGGCAGCAGUGGGGAAUCUUAGACAAUGGGGGAAACCCUGAUCGAGCCAUGCCGCGUGAGCGAUGAAGGCCUUAGGGUUGUAAAGCUCUUUAAGCUGGGAAGAUAAUGACGGUACCAGCAGAAGAAGCCCCGGCUAACUCCGUG
rnacentral:rRNA from 1 species